rnacentral:rRNA from 1 species
CUCGCCUUCUGACAGCGGUCUGGAGGCUCCCAGUUCUAGCAAUCCAUCAUUCAGCUCCUUCCUAUCCUCCGCAUCGGCACCUCGAUUGCGGUUCGAUCAGGCACCGCCAUGAUGUUCUGGUUCGAUAGAUGGGCUGGGGACUUGCCCCUCGCGGCCCGUUUUCCCGACCUGUUCAUCGUGUUUGACCUACGGAUCUCGAUCGUGAUGGCCCUUAUUGACUUAGGGCAACUCGUCUUCCGGAGAGCGUUUGGCCCGGCUGAGAAUGUUGAUUGGCAUGAGCUGCUGGAAUGCAUCGCGCUACACGAGCCUGGUCUUGAGUUAGAAGAUGACCAUGCCAGGUGGCGUCUAGAGCCAUCUGGGCAAUUCUCCACUAAGUCUCUAUACCAGGCCAUCGCACCAUCGAUGGGUCAUGAGGCGCUCACCACCAUCUAGGAGAUCCAGCUCCCCUUGAAGAUUAGGAUAUUCUUGUGGCAAUGGAUUCGCGGCCGCCUCCCAUCCGACAUGGAGGUCCUGAAACGCAAUGGCCCAGGUGAUGGGCGGUGCCCGCUCUACGGGCCUGAAGAGGAUUCGAACCAUAUCUUCUUCACCUACGUGUCCGCGCAGUUCCUAUGGAGUAGUUUCCGCAAAAUAGUGGGUGGAAGCUGGGACUACAACAACUUCCCCUCUCUCUUUGUGGAACUCCAGGCGUUAGCUCCCUCUGUUCGCCACAUUAGGUGGCUGAUCAUCGGGGUGCUAACCUGGAUGCUGUGGGCUGUUAGGAAUAAGCUUGUGAUUCAGUGCAUUCCUCUUCAUCGUGCUACUGACGCUUUGUUCAAAUGGUCUGGUUACUUGCAGCUUUGGCGGCCGCUUAGUCGUCCCCGGGAGAGAGACGUCAUCACCUCCAUCAUCACCCAGCUUCAUUUGAUGGCUCUCCGGAUGGCCCCACCGCUUCCCCCACCACCACCAGAGCCAGAUUAA